GUGUCGGAGCCGUGGUCCCAUCACACAAGAUCACGCUGAGCAUCCUGCAGCUGCUUUCAGCAGAGUGGACAUGCAGCAAACGAGCUUGUUUCCAACUCCUAGAAGAGAUGGAAUCACUCCAGAGUCAAAAUGCUGUUGCAAGUGGAUGUAGGACAUAGAACUGAGGUCAUGCAGUCAGGACACAGGAAGGCAGCCCGAUUUUAGCACUUGAAUGCAGUUGGAUCGAGCAUAGAGGAAGAGGCUGUUGAGCCCGAGUGUUGGUUUCAGAAUCUGCUGCCAGUCAUGCUGGCGGCAAUUGUGCUUUUAUUUAAUUAUCUUGACUUCCCACUGCUCUAAAAAAAGAAGUGUGGUACCAGAUCAAGAGCAAGAGAAGUUCCUUGGUUUUGAUGAAUAAAUUGCUUCUGACGUGUUCAUUGCCCUACGUGCGUGCAUGCUACAAAGGUUAACAACACUGACACUGGAGUAACUGCCCCCAAAUCCAACCGCACCUGAAAGAAGAUCCUGGAAACAGACAGGGGAUCUCUCCAGCGCCUGGCUGGGAUCAUUGUUACCUCCUGCUUCUGUGCAGCAGCCGGAGGCCGUUGGUUGAUUGCCUGUUGGUUAUGUUGCAUAAAUACAUGGUGUGUGCAAAGCCCCCUGCGAAGGCUUGGUUAUUUGCAGGGCUGCAUCCCCCUCUACCGGCGGACAUUUCGGUGAAAUCAUUUUCUCUCAGCCAGUGUUCAAACAGGAGGAAAGUCUGUAGUCUUUCUGAUGGGACUAAGAGUGCAUGCAUAUAUUUUGCUUACGUUUUAAAACAUGCAAGUAGCACGUGCAUCGCCUUCUAAAGUCUUCUGUCCACAUCUGAAUAUUUUAGCAGGAUAGACAGUUUUACCACAAACAUGGCUCUAUUAGGAAUGAGAUGGCUUUGGGGAAGAGCAAUAUUAAAAAGUAUUCCAAGCUGUGAAAGUAUAACCAAAUUCUUGCAAUCCCCUUUGAAUGUAAAUAAUAAGGUAUGAAUUUAAGAUUAUUUUGAAAGGACAUAUUUUACAAAAUUGAAAUAAACAC